CCUGGCAUCUCCGCCAGGUCCGGGCAAGCACCCACCACGGCACCAGGCCAAGGAAAACACCAGCAACCCAAUCCCUUCCCCACAGCAGCGGGGCCCAGUGUUUAUCCUGGAGGCGAAGCGGGACGAGCUGGGGCCCCUGCGCAGAGCUGACAGCUGAUUCCCGAUCCCGAGCUGACGGCCGCUUCCCUGGUCCCCUGCUUUCCUGGCCGCAUGGCGCUGGUGCUGGGAGCCGUGCUGCUGGCGGCCGGUGCUGCUGUCCCGCCGGGGCUGCCGGCUCCCCGCGACCUGGCGCGCUCGGUGCUGGAGACCCACGGGCAGGAGCUGCGGCUGCUGAAGAUGCUGGGAGUCGCCAGGACGCAGACGUUCGACUGGGGCACCCAUUUCAGCAUCAACUUCACUGCCCGGCAGCCCGCCUGCCCCAAAAACCUCCCUGACCGCCGCGGGGCCGGCUGCCAAGCCCGGCCGGGCAGGGUACAGCGGUGCACGGCCCAGGUCUCUGUCUUUGCCUUCCUGCCCGACGUGCCACUGUCAAUGGUGGAGUGCGGCAAGGAGCCGCCCGGCAGCAGCACCCAGUCCCGCGCCCCCGGCACCCCACGAGCCAUUGGCACCAACCCAGGUCACCCAUCAUCAUCAUCACCAUCCUCCUCCUCCUCCUCACGACCACCCCAGCGUCCUCGGCCCCAUGCUGGCACAUCCCUCCUGGGGACAUCCCGCCGCCCCCUGUCCCCAGUGGAGCUGGAAUAAAGAUAUUUUGGGGUGAUACGUGUGCGUGUGUGGGGCUGACACAGGUUGGGGGGCAGGGAGACACCCCCCCAGAGCUGGGCAACAGAGAUGGGGCAACUCCUGGGGUUUGGUGCUGGUGCCCCAAUGCCAGCAAUGGGGUCUCACAACUCCCCCCAAGGGGCUCCCUGGGAUACCCUGGGGAGUGGGGCCAUGUCCCCAAAAGUGACCAGAUGUGACAGCGCCAGCGCUUGGGGCACGCUCAGGACCCCCCCACCCCGUGUCCCCCCCACAGUAACCGCCACUCUGUGGGCUGGGGCCAGGCAUUUCCGGAGGGGGGAGGUUCCCCAACCUCCUGGAGCAGGGAUAAAAGGGGAUGCAGGGGGUGGCCGUGGGACAAGGAUGCCGAGCUCCUGGGCACUGGUGCUGGCGGUGCUGGGGGGGGCCUGCGCCCUCCCGGCCCCGGCCCCCCUGGCCUACACCCAGGUGCUGACUCAGGCCGUCGAAUCCUUCAACCAGCGCCCCGAGGUGCAGAACGCCUUCAGGCUGCUCAGCGCCGACCCCGAGCCCGCCCCGGGCCUCGAGCUGACCAUGCUGCGGGCACUCAACUUCAGCAUGAUGGAGACGGAGUGCAGCCCAAGUGCCCGGAUGAACCCUGAAGACUGCGACUUCAAGGAGAAUGGGGUCAUCAAGGAGUGCUCAGGGCCAGUGCAGUUCCUGCAGAGCUCCCCUGAGAUUGACCUGCACUGCAAUGAUGCCUCCUCCAACCCGGUUCUGGUCCAGCGCGGCCGGUUCGGGCGCUUCCUGGGCAAGGUCCGGCACUUUCGGCCCAAGAUCAAGAUCUAUGGCAAAGUCGGGGUGUCCGUCACCGUGGGCUGAACCAAUAAAGGGGCCUUUCAUGGCCCGUGUGUGUGA